AUGAAUGAUGGACUUGUUUUUCUGCAUGAUGACAACACUGUUCUUAAGAUGGCUGAGUUUGUUUGUGAUGGAGGAGUUGCAGAUGUGUAUGUUGAGAAGCAUGCUUCUGCUGAUGGGGAAGAAACAGUUGCAACAGCAUGCUCUGCUAGAGAGGAAGAGGAGCAGUUCACCCCUUUAAGUGUAGUUAUGCCAGAAGAACAAGUGCCCAGUGAUUAUAUACCUGAUGAUGAGUCAGCAUCUGAGGAUGAUGAAGAAGCAAGAAAGAUCAAUGCUGACUAUGUAGAGUACAAGAAGAAACUUAGGGCUGGAAACAUUGACAUUUUAGAUGAAGUGUUCAUUACAGAUGCAACAGUAGGUUCAAGGGAAAAUGUUGGAGAGGAUGCAGCUGCUGAAAGCUACUCAGACAGCUCAGAUUUUGAUGACUCUUUUGAAGAAAACAGUGAUGGAGAGGCUGUCAGCAAACCAAAAAAAUAUCCUGUGUACAAAGACAGAGGAGAAGUACCAGAGUUCUGUCUUGGAAUGAAAUUUGAAUCAAAGGAAGAGUUCAGAAAAGCAAUAAUUACUUAUGGACUGCAUCACAGAAGGUUAAUUAGGUUUAAGAAAAAUGAUUCUGUAAGGUGCAGAGCAGAGUGUGAUUGGGGGACAUGUCCCUGGUUCUGUUUACUAAGUAGGACAAGUAGGUGCAAUAGUUGGCAGGUGACAUCUUUCAUAGAUAAGCAUUAUUGCCCAAAAAGGAAGGACAACAAGCUGGUCACUUCAGUGAGGAUUGCACAAAAAUAUGAUAAGCUCAUUAGGGGCCACCCAGGAUGGAAGAUUGACAGCUUGAAAGCACAUGUGCAAGAGGACAUGUUUGCAAAUGUGAGCACAUCACAAAUUCAGAGAGCAAAACAAAUUGUGAAGCAGAGAGUGUAUGAUUCCACCAAGUUCCAAUACUCAAAAGUGUUUGAUUAUCAGUUGGAAUUGCCGAGGAGCAAUCCAGGAAGCACUGUUGUUGUCAAACUUGAUCCAAAGGAAAGAGUACCGACAUUUCUAAGAAUGUAUGUGUGCUUGGCUGCUCUGAAAGAAGGUUUCAAGGCAGGUUGUAGAAAAGUAGUAGGAAUGGAUGGAUGUUUUUUCAAAGGAGCAACAAAUGGAGAGCUGCUCUGUGCUAUAGGGAGGGAUGCAAAUAACCAAAUGUACCCAAUUGCAUGGGCAGUAAUUGAGAAGGAGAAUAAUGACUCAUGGGAUUGGUUCUAUGAUUUACUGUUUAGAGAUUUGGAAGUGGAAGAUGGUCAAGGCUGGGUGUUCAUAUCUGACCAACAGAAAGGAAUUAUAACACCAGUUCAGAACUGGGCACCAUUGGCUGAGCAUAGGAAUUGUGCCAGACAUAUAUAUGCUAACUGGAGACUUAAAUUCAGAAACAAGGACUGGCAGAAACUGUUC
rnacentral:rRNA from 1 species